rnacentral:rRNA from 1 species
GAUGAACGCUGGCGGCGUGCUUAACACAUGCAAGUCGAACGGAAAGGCCCAAGCUUGCUUGGGUACUCGAGUGGCGAACGGGUGAGUAACACGUGGGUGAUCUGCCCUGCACUUCGGGAUAAGCCUGGGAAACUGGGUCUAAUACCGGAUAGGACCACGUCUUGGAUGUUGUGGUGGAAAGAUUUUUCGGUGUGGGAUGAGCUCGCGGCCUAUCAGCUUGUUGGUGGGGUAAUGGCCUACCAAGGCGUCGACGGGUAGCCGGCCUGAGAGGGUGUACGGCCACAUUGGGACUGAGAUACGGCCCAGACUCCUACGGGGGGCAGCAGUGGGGAAUAUUGCACAAUGGGCGCAAGCCUGAUGCAGCGACGCCGCGUGGGGGAUGACGGCCUUCGGGUUGUAAACUCCUUUCGCUAGGGACGAAGCGUUUUUGUGACGGUACCUGGAGAAGAAGCACCGGCUAACUACGUG